GGCUCAGGAUGAACGCUAGCUACAGGCUUAACACAUGCAAGUCGAGGGGAAACGAUAUUGGAAGCUUGCUUCUGAUAGGCGUCGACCGGCGCACGGGUGAGUAACGCGUAUCCAACCUGCCCAUCACUUGGGGAUAACCUUGUGAAAGUAAGACUAAUACCCAAUGACGUCUCUAGAAGACAUCUGAAAGAGAUUAAAGAUUUUAUCGGUGAUGGAUGGGGAUGCGUCUGAUUAGCUUGUUGGCGGGUAACGGCCCACCAAGGCGACGAUCAGUAGGGGUUCUGAGAGGAAGGUCCCCCACAUUGGAACUGAGACACGGUCCAAACUCCUACGGGAGGCAGCAGUGAGGAAUAUUGGUCAAUGGACGAGAGUCUGAACCAGCCAAGUAGCGUGCAGGAUGACGGCCCUAUGGGUUGUAAACUGCUUUUAUAAGGGAAUAAAGUGGGAGUCGUGACUCUUUUUGCAUGUACCUUAUGAAUAAGGACCGGCUAAUUCCGUG
rnacentral:rRNA from 1 species